GGGGCCAUGGUUUAGUGGCAUAAUUUCCGCUUAGGGUGCGAAAGGUCCCGGGUUCGAUUCCCGGUGGCCCCC
rnacentral:tRNA from 1 species